CAAAAGUGAUCGUGGUUUUUG
rnacentral:miRNA from 3 species